rnacentral:misc_RNA from 1 species
CUCACAUAACUGAAAUCAGUAUCAUCUAGUUCAUUUGAUUCAAAGUGAAAGGGGUGAUCACCAGCCAUUGUGUAUGCAUUUUCAUCCUUCUCACAGUCUAAACUGCUACAUCCUGUCCAGGAACCUCUGCUGGACCUGUCUUGUAGAUCGACAGAAGUAUUUGGUUCAUCAAUACAAACGAGCCCAGAGUCCAACUCACAACCUUCUGAGACUAGGCACUCAGUUUGGCUAGUUAUUUCAUCUUUAAAAUGCUCCUUAGUAACUGAAUUAGGACCUUUUUGGUCAUGCUCCUCGCUGAAGAUUAUCGCGGAACCUUUCUCCUGAUCUUGGCAAGGACUACAC